AACGCGAAGAACCUUACCAGGAUUCGACAUAUCCCUUUUGGAUUCCCGAAAAGGAGUCCUUCAUUUAGUUGGGGGGAAUACAGGUGCUGCAUGGCUGUCGUCAGCUCGUGUCGUGAGAUGUUGGGUUAAGUCCCGCAACGAGCGCAACCCUCGUCCUCUGUUGCUAACAGGUUAAGCUGAGCACUCUGAGGAAACUGCCGGUGAUAAGCCGGAGGAAGGUGGGGAUGACGUCAAGUCCUCAUGGCCCUUACAUCCUGGGCUACACACGUGUUACAAUGGUGGUGACAAUGGGUCGCGAUCCCGCAAGGGCUAGCUAAUCCCCAAAAGCCACCUCAGUUCGGAUUGUACUCUGCAACUCGAGUACAUGAAGCUGGAAUCGCUAGUAAUCGUGGAUCAGCACGCCACGGUGAAUACGUUCCCGGGCCUUGUACACACCGCGAGC
rnacentral:rRNA from 1 species